CUUGCACUGAUUUCACAAUGAAGCGAGUGGCGAACUGGUGAGUAACACGUGGGAAUCUGCCCAGAAGCAGGGGAUAACACUUGGAAACAGGUGCUAAUACCGUAUAACAACAAAAUCCGCAUGGAUUUUGUUUGAAAGGUGGCUUCGGCUAUCACUUCUGGAUGAUCCCGCGGCGUAUUAGUUAGUUGGUGAGGUAAAGGCCCACCAAGACGAUGAUACGUAGCCGACCUGAGAGGGUAAUCGGCCACAUUGGGACUGAGACACGGCCCAAACUCCUACGGGAGGCAGCAGUAGGGAAUCUUCCACAAUGGACGAAAGUCUGAUGGAGCAAUGCCGCGUGAGUGAAGAAGGGUUUCGGCUCGUAAAACUCUGUUGUUAAAGAAGAACACCUUUGAGAGUAACUGUUCAAGGGUUGACGGUAUUUAACCAGAAAGCCACGGCUAACUACGUGCCAGCAGCCGCGGUAAUACGUAGGUGGCAAGCGUUGUCCGGAUUUAUUGGGCGUAAAGCGAGCGCAGGCGGUUUUUUAAGUCUGAUGUGAAAGCCUUCGGCUUAACCGGAGAAGUGCAUCGGAAACUGGGAGACUUGAGUGCAGAAGAGGACAGUGGAACUCCAUGUGUAGCGGUGGAAUGCGUAGAUAUAUGGAAGAACACCAGUGGCGAAGGCGGCUGUCUAGUCUGUAACUGACGCUGAGGCUCGAAAGCAUGGGUAGCGAACAGGAUUAGAUACCCUGGUAGUCCAUGCCGUAAACGAUGAGUGCUAAGUGUUGGAGGGUUUCCGCCCUUCAGUGCUGCAGCUAACGCAUUAAGCACUCCGCCUGGGGAGUACGACCGCAAGGUUGAAACUCAAAGGAAUUGACGGGGGCCCGCACAAGCGGUGGAGCAUGUGGUUUAAUUCGAAGCUACGCGAAGAACCUUACCAGGUCUUGACAUCUUCUGCCAAUCUUAGAGAUAAGACGUUCCCUUCGGGGACAGAAUGACAGGUGGUGCAUGGUUGUCGUCAGCUCGUGUCGUGAGAUGUUGGGUUAAGUCCCGCAACGAGCGCAACCCUUAUUAUCAGUUGCCAGCAUUCAGUUGGGCACUCUGGUGAGACUGCCGGUGACAAACCGGAGGAAGGUGGGGAUGACGUCAAAUCAUCAUGCCCCUUAUGACCUGGGCUAACGUGCUACAAUGGACGGUACAACGAGUCGCAAAU
rnacentral:rRNA from 1 species